GUUUAAUAGGCCGGGUGCAGUGGCUCAUGCCUGUAAUCCCAACACUUUGGGAGGCCGAGGCAGGUGGAUCAUGAGUGUUUUGUAGAGACAGAGUCUCACUCUGUUGCCCAGGCGAGUCUCUAACUCCUGGCCUCAAAUGAUCCUCCCAUCUCAGCCUCUCAAAGCUCUGGGAUUGCAGGUGUAAACCAUCUCACCCAGUCAGCAAGUGAUACAGCUGAAAGAAAACAAUUUGAAUCUAUAAAGCACUGAGAUGUUUUUGACUUAAAACAAGCACCAAAGUCUCAGUCGUUUAUCCAGAAUCAUAGCCUCCCUGAGAUGAAAGGGGCCUAAGAGAUCAUCCAGUCAGUGCGACAUGAUUUGCAAGGAUACCAGAUGAUAAAAUCAAGGCUCCAAAAAAUUGAGACAGAACUUGAACGAUGGUCUCCUGGCUUGUAAUCUUCUACACAACGUGCCAUCAAAUGGAUCAUUUGGGGAUGAUAUAUUCACAAGAAUUUGGCCAAGUUGGCAAA